rnacentral:rRNA from 1 species
GACGAACGCUGGCGGCGUGCCUAAUACAUGCAAGUAGAACGCUGAAGGAGGAGCUUGCUUCUCUGGAUGAGUUGCGAACGGGUGAGUAACGCGUAGGUAACCUGCCUGGUAGCGGGGGAUAACUAUUGGAAACGAUAGCUAAUACCGCAUAAGAGUGGAUGUUGCAUGACAUUUGCUUAAAAGGUGCACUUGCAUCACUACCAGAUGGACCUGCGUUGUAUUAGCUAGUUGGUGGGGUAACGGCUCACCAAGGCGACGAUACAUAGCCGACCUGAGAGGGUGAUCGGCCACACUGGGACUGAGACACGGCCCAGACUCCUACGGGAGGCAGCA